UACGUAGGGUGCGAGCGUUGUCCGGAAUUAUUGGGCGUAAAGAGCUUGUAGGCGGUUUUGUCGCGUCUGCUGUGAAAAUCCGGGGCUCAACCCCGGACUUGCAGUGGGUACGGGCAGACUGGAGUGUGGUAGGGGAGACUGGAAUUCCUGGUGUAGCGGUGGAAUGCGCAGAUAUCAGGAGGAACACCGAUGGCGAAGGCAGGUCUCUGGGCCACUACUGACGCUGAGAAGCGAAAGCAUGGGGAGCGAACAGG
rnacentral:rRNA from 1 species